rnacentral:rRNA from 1 species
UACGAAGGGGGCUAGCGUUGCUCGGAAUCACUGGGCGUAAAGCGCACGUAGGCGGCUUUUUAAGUCAGGGGGUGAAAUCCUGGAGCUCAACUCCAGAACUGCCUUUGAUACUGGCGACCUUGAGUUCGGGAGAGGUGAGUGGAACUGCGAGUGUAGAGGUGAAAUUCGUAGAUAUUCGCAAGAACACCAGUGGCGAAGGCGGCUCACUGGCCCGAUACUGACGCUGAGGCACGAAAGCGUGGGGAGCAAACAGG